rnacentral:rRNA from 1 species
AUCCUACGGGAGGCAGCAGUGGGGAAUAUUGCACAAUGGGGGAAACCCUGAUGCAGCCAUGCCGCGUGUGUGAAGAAGGCCUUCGGGUUGUAAAGCACUUUCAGUAGGGAGGAAGGUAGUGUAGUUAACACCUGCAUUAUUUGACGUUACCUACAGAAGAAGCACCGGCUAACUCCGUGCCAGCAGCCGCGGUAAUACGGAGGGUGCGAGCGUUAAUCGGAAUUACUGGGCGUAAAGCGCAUGCAGGCGGCCUGUUAAGUCAGAUGUGAAAGCCCGGGGCUUAACCUCGGAAUUGCAUUUGAAACUGGCAGGCUAGAGUCUUGUAGAGGGGGUAGAAUUUCAGGUGUAGCGGUGAAAAUGCGUAGAGAUCUGAAGGAAUACCAGUGGCGAAGGCGGCCCCCUGGACAAAGACUGACGCUCAGAUGCGAAAGCGUGGGGAGCAAACAGGAUUAGAUACCCUGGUAG